CCUACGGGUGGCAGCAGUAGGGAAUAUUGCUCAAUGGGGGAAACCCUGAAGCAGCAACGCCGCGUGGAGGAUGAAGGUUUUCGGAUUGUAAACUCCUUUUGUUAGAGAAGAUAAUGACGGUAUCUAACGAAUAAGCACCGGCUAACUCCGUUCCAGCAGCCGCGGUAAUACGGAGGGUGCAAGCGUUACUCGGAAUCAAUGGGCGUAAAGAGCGCGUAGGCGGGAUAGCAAGUCAGAUGUGAAAUCCUAUGGCUUAACCAUAGAACUGCAGUUGAAACUGUUAUUCUAGAGUAUGGGAGAGGUAGGUGGAAUGCUUGGUGUAGGGGUAAAAUGCGUAGAGAUCAAGAGGAAUACUCAUUGCGAAGGCGACCUGCUAGAACAUAACUGACGCUGAUGCGCGAAAGCGUGGGGAGCAAACAGGAUUAGAUACCCCAGUAGUC
rnacentral:rRNA from 1 species